rnacentral:tRNA from 2 species
GACCCCGUAGCUCAACUGGAUAGAGCACCGGCCUUCUAAGCCGGAUGUUGCAGGUUCAAGUCCUGCCGGGGUCGCCA